rnacentral:lncRNA from 12 species
GACUUACAGACAGCUUGUGUAACUCUUCAGCAGCGAAAUAUGAUGCCUCACCAGCAGCUUACACACGCUUUAGCUUUCUAGAUAGAUAGAUAGAUAGAUAGAUAGAUAGAUAGAUAGAAUAUUCUCAGCUUGCAAAAAUAUGUAAUUGUCAGCAACUACUAAUGAAAGCUCUUUUGUGCAUCUGAUGUGGUUGGAAAAGGUCAUAAAAAUGAAUGGGCGAAUGUAGAACCAGAUAAAAGGAAAUGUUCGACAGGAUCAGUUCGCGGGAAACUUCCGGUUGACCAGUGUGUGUGUGUGUGUGCAACGUGUGCAGCUUGAACUGGUGGGUGCACAAGAGCACGUCAUUUUCGCGGUAAUAUCUUGCAACUGGCAAUGCAACAACAACAGCGCUCUGCAGAAGAGUCGGAUUAUGAAAAUGUUUGUAAAAACAUGGCAACGUAGUUUUUUAACCUUUUUAGCACUGUGUUGGACCUCCUUUAAGGCGAUGGUUUGCAGUAAAGUGAGAGGGGGAAACUUUAAAAGCUAUAAUAUUUGGAUUUUUAUGGUGGCUUCUAAGAAUAGCCGGGAGAUUCCUGUGCUGCUGUGGACAUGACAACUCUGAAGUUCAGCUCUCAGUUGAAGAAACGGCGCCAUUUCUUGAUGUAAGCACUGUACGACCAUGGGAUUAUGGUAAAGGUGGAGGUAUUAUCAGGACGGUUUAGACAGGUGAGACACAUGAUGAC